GAUGAAGAACGUAGCGAAAUGCGAUAAGUAAUGUGAAUUGCAGAAUUCAGUGAAUCAUCGAAUCUUUGAACGCACCUUGCGCCCUUUGGCUAUUCUGAAGGGCAUGCCUGUUUGAGUAUCAUGAACACCUCAACUCUCAUGGUUUGCCAUGAUGAGCUUGGACUUUGGGGGUCUUGCUGGCCUACGGUCGGCUCCUCUCAAAUGAAUCAGCUUGCCAGUGUUUGGUGGCAUCACGGGUGUGAUAACUAUCUACGCUUGUGGUUUCCCGCCAGGUAACCUUCAGUGAUGGAGGUUCGCUGGGGCUCAUAAAUGUCCCUCCACAGCGAGGACAGCUUUUGAACGUUUGAUCUCAAAUCAGGUAGGACUACCCGCUGAACUUAAGCAUAUCAAUAAGCGGAGGA
rnacentral:misc_RNA from 1 species